AGGUGUUUAGCUCAGUGGUUAAAGCAGUUGUCUUAUACACAACCGAUCGGUGGUUCGAAUCCACCAGCACCUA
rnacentral:tRNA from 1 species